rnacentral:antisense_RNA from 1 species
AAAACAAUCGUUUUAUUUAGCGACCGCUUGUAAUGCGAAUUGUUCGUUUACCGCAGCUUGUUUUCGUUUUGCAACUGCUUCGAAAGCAGCC